CCAAUAGCGUAUAUUAAAGUUGUUGCAGUUAAAAAGCUCGUAGUUGAAUUUCGGGAUCAAUUUAUUGGUCGUGCUAUUGUACGUACUGAUUUUAUUGGUUCCUACCUUCUGACGAACCAUAAUGUCAUUAAUUUGGUGUUAUGGGGAAUCAGGACUGUUACUUUGAAAAAAUUAGAGUGUUUAAAGCAGGCUCACGCUUGAAUACAUUAGCAUGGAAUAACGAAAUAGGACGUUUGAUUCUAUUUUGUUGGUUUCUAGGAUCGACGUAAUGAUUAAUAGGGAUAGUUGGGGGCAUUAGUAUUCAAUUGUCAGAGGUGAAAUUCUUGGAUUUAUUGAAGACUAACUACUGCGAAAGCAUUUGCCAAGGAUGUUUUCAUUAAUCAAGAACGAAAGUUAGGGGAUCGAAGACGAUCAGAUACCGUCGUAGUCUUAACCAUAAACUAUGCCGACUAGGGAUCGGAUGAUGUUAAUUUUUUAAUGACUCAUUCGGCGCCUUACG
rnacentral:rRNA from 1 species